CUAAUUAUUACUAAUGCUAGAACUAGAGACAUUAUAUAUGUUUCUCAGUCUGAGUCACAUUGGAUUUCACUUAAUCAAACCUGACAUGAAAUUGAACAUAAUAUAAUAAGUCCUUCAAAACUGUCUAAUAAACAUACUAAAACACUUAUGUCAACAGAGUAAAGAUGUUAAAAGCCAGACCUAGCAUUAAUGUACAACCAAUCCUCUAGAUAUUUGAGAGAACAAAUUGAAAUGCAGAUACACAUUAUACCUAAAUAUGAAAGGACACCUCUGUCUGUAGGCAUACAUCUAACUUUGUUGGUUAGUUUUUCAACUGAAAACAUUCACUGUGCAAAUAUUUGCUAAAUGUAAGUAUUCUUGGACUAAAACAUUUAUAUAUAGGUCCCAGUAAUACUUAAAUGUCGAGAAUGGAAACAGCAUGUGUCAAAGAGAACAAUCCGACCAAAGUACAGUCUUAGGUCAUCAAUGGGUCUUGGACACUGCAAGAAAAUCCUGCAUC
rnacentral:lncRNA from 1 species